AUGCCAUACACACAGACACAGAACACAAUGAGCCCCCUCGCCGUGGUCGUGACAUCCCUCGCCGUCGUGCUGCUGGCGCGGUGCGCAGCGGCGUAUCCGUGGCAGGUGUGCGGCACGGCAGCCAACUUCACGGCCAACAGCACGUACCAGGCCAACCUCGGCCUCCUCGCCGCGGCGCUGCCCAGGAACAUCUCCUCCUCCCCGGACCUCUUCGCCACCGCUGUGGUCGGCGCCGCCCCGGACCAGGUCUCGGCGCUCGCGCUCUGCCGGGGCGACGCCAACGCCACGGCCUGCUCCGGCUGCCUCGCCAUGGCCUUCCAGGACGUGCAGAACCAGUGCGCCUACGACAAGGACGCCGCCAUCUACUACGACCCCUGCGCCCUCUACUACUCCUCCAACGCCACCUCCCUCUCCUCCUUGGACAACGUCGGGAGGACGAACCGCAUCAACAACCAGAACGUCACGUCCGACCCCGGGCGGUUCAACCGCCAGGUGGCCGCGCUCGUGAACGCCACCGCCGACCACGCGGCGUACAACUCCACGCGCCGGUACGCGUCCGGGGAGGCCGACCUCGGCGGCCAGUUCCCCAGGGUGUACAGCUGGGCGCAGUGCACGCCGGACCUCACGCCGGCGCGGUGCCGUGGUUGCCUCGCCGGACUCAUUGCCGGAAUGCCGAGGCGGUUCACCGACCGCGUCGGAGGGAGAUCUCUUGGGGUCAGGUGCAGCUACCGGUACGAGACGUACUCCUUCCUCGACGGCCCGGUGAUGGUCAGGCUGGCCGCGCCGCCGAGCUCGGCCGCGCCUGCGCCUGCAGUUGGGCCCACGGUUCCGACUCCAGGGGCGGUCGCCGGAGAAAGGAAGUUCAUCGUUACUGCCACGGUCCUUGUCAUUGUGCUGCCUACUAUCGCAGCUCUGGUGAUAAUCAACCUUCUUGUUUGGCUCUGUAUCUGGAGGAGGAUGAGGAGACCACAAGCAGGAGCAACUCAACCAUAUUCUAGUCGUGAGAACAUGGAAAGCGUAGAAUCGAUGCUCAUCGACAUUUCUACGUUGAGAGCUGCGACCGGGGGUUUCGCAGAGAGCAACAAGCUUGGCCAAGGCGGAUUUGGUGCGGUGUACAAGGGUACUCUCCCAGAUGGCGAUGAAAUAGCGGUGAAAAGGCUCGCCAAGAGUUCGACGCAAGGAGUUGGAGAGCUGACGAAUGAACUCCUUUUGGUCGCAAAGCUCCAGCACAAGAAUCUCGUGAGGCUUAUUGGCGUCUGCUUAGAGCAGGAGGAGAGACUGCUCGUUUACGAGUUAGUCCCCAACCGGAGCCUAGAUAAGAUCCUGUUCGACACCGAGAAGCGCGGUCAACUUGAUUGGGGAAAGAGGUACAAGAUCAUAAGCGGAGUCGCACGAGGCCUGCAGUACCUCCACGAAGACUCGCAGCUCAAAGUAGUCCACCGCGACCUUAAGGCGAGCAACAUCUUGCUUGACACCAACAUGAACCCCAAGAUUUCCGACUUCGGCAUGGCGAGGCUCUUCGGGGGAGACCAGACGCAGGGCAUCACCAGCCGUGUCGUCGGAACAUAUGGUUACAUGGCACCGGAGUACGUGAUGCGCGGGAACUACUCGGUCAAGUCUGACGUGUUCAGCUUCGGGGUCAUGGUUCUGGAGAUGGUGACGGGAAAGAAGAGCAACGACUGCUACACCUCCCGGCUGUCUGAAGAUCUGCUGACGCUUGUGUGGGAGCGCUGGACGGCCGGGUCGGUAUCGGGGCUGAUAGACCCGUGCUUGGGCGACAGCUUCUCCCGGACCGACGCGCUGCGGUGCAUCCACAUCGGGCUGCUGUGCACCCAGGGAGACCCGGCGGCCCGGCCGGCGAUGUCGUCGGUGGUCACGAUGCUCGGCAGCGACACGGUGUCUCUCCAGGCCCCGCCCAAGCCGGUCUUCUACGCCAGGAGAAGCUCGGCCACGUCCUCCAGCAUGUCCACGGCGUCAGCUUAG
rnacentral:rRNA from 1 species